GGUGUGGCCCGGGACGCAGUUCGGGUCCUAGCGGUGGCGGUGCCCGGAGCCGGGAGCGCGGAGUCUUUCCCAGCGCGGCGGCCAGGCUAUGAUCGUGGGUCCCCGGCGCCUCGCUCCGGCCAUCCCCAGUCCCUGUGUCAGCCCGAGCCCGAGCGGUGUCCUCAGCCCGGCCCCGCGGCGCGCCCCCUCCGAUGGCGGCGGAGAUCCAGCCCAAACCUCUGACCCGCAAACCGGUCCUGCUGCAGCGGGUCGAGGGGUCCCAGGAGGUGGUGAAUAUGGCCGUGAUCGUGCCCAAGGAGGAGGGCGUCAUCAGCGUCUCGGAGGACAGGACCGUUCGAGUUUGGUUAAAGAGGCACAGCGGACAGUACUGGCCAAGCAUAUGCCACAUGAUGCCUUCUCCAUGUUCAUGCAUGUCUUUUAAUCCGGAAACAAGAAGACUGUCCGUAGGUCUAGACAAUGGUACAAUCUCAGAGUUUAUUUUAUCAGAAGAUUAUAACAAGAUGACUCCUGUGAAAAACUAUCAAGCGCAUCAGAGCAGAGUGACCAUGCUCCUGUUCGUGCUGGAGCUGGAGUGGGUGCUGAGCACCGGACACGACAAGCAGUUUGUGUGGCACUGUUCUGAGAGCGGACGACGCCUGGGAGGCCGCCGCACCGGCGCCGUGGCCUCGGGCCUGCAAUUUGAUGUUGAAACCCGGCAUGUGUUUAUUGGUGACCAUUCAGGCCAAGUAACCAUCCUCAAACUGGAGCAAGAAAACUGCGCCCUGGUGACAACAUUCAGAGGACACACAGAUGCGUCCUUCCAGUCCAGGCUCCGAGUGGCCUCUAACCCCUGCGCAGGCCCGCCUGAAGGUCCUCUGGCCACCCCUGCGUCACCUCCUCCUCGGCUGCCUCCCCGACACCCCAGCCUCCUCCUUCUGAGAGUGAGACAGCCCGUCAGGUCAGCGGACGUGCUUCAAGCCCGUGGCGCCCAGCGGUCCGGCGGCGCUUGCGUGCAGCCCCUGCGCCUGCCUACGGUGCCUACAGGGGGCUCUGUGCGCCCGCUGUCCCCGCGCCUGUCCCCGCCUCUGGCCGCCCUGCCCCCUCUGCCUGUGGCCGCGUCUGAGCCCUGGACCCUCGCCUCUGUCUCCGUACAGCCCGCUCUCCCUGCCCGCAGCCCCACCUCCCCGUCAGAGGUAAAGGCACCGUCACUGUCCCCGCGUUCCUCGCAGCCACGGGAGGCGGAGGCCGGGCAGCGACGGCGCGUGGUGGCCAGCGCAGGGGAAGCAGGGCCGGGCAGGGCGGGGCCUCGCUCGCUGGGAGUGGCCGUCGGCCAGGGGCUCAGGGGUCUGGGAGGAGUGGGGUCCACGGAAAACAGCGGGAAGAGUGGUCCAGGCGGAGAGAACCAGCAUGUCCGAGGUGCCAUGAUGUGGCGGCGCUGGUGGGAGAGCGAGAGUGGGCGGCCGGGGCUGGGACGCAGGUGGAGCGCCGGGCAGGGCUGCGGAGAGGCUGUUCCUCUGGCUCUUGGCGGGCAGGCGCCUGCCGUGCGGGCUGAUGGGGCGCUCUGGCUGUGCGGUGCCCCGCGGGCCGAGAAGGGGUCAGAAGCCGCCCCUCACCGCGCGGUGGGCACUGAGCAAGGGCUUCGUGUCUGCCGGUGUGGUGCCAGUGCGGUGCCAGUGCAGAAUGCUGCCUGAUCCGCCUCCGAGUGUCAUCAUUUUAUCGUGAAAUAUCUCAGAGGAAGACAAGACGUGGCCCAGGAAGGUCACUGACAGGAAGGCAUGUGCAGUGGGUCACACUUGACCUGGUGCCCCUGGACACUACCUGCCCAGCCUGGACACUGCCUGCCCAUCGCCAGCCUGGCCACAGUACAGCUCACUCAUUUAAAGCCGCAGCAAGGAUGUCCGAGAGACCCAAAGCGGUGCCUGUGCAGGCCCACCUGGGGCCCUGGGGGCCCCAAACUCAGCCAGACACGGCGCUGGAAGGGGGUUUGUAAGGCUUAGGUCAGUGUCCUCAUUUCCCUACCCCCAAACAAAGGCCUUAAGAUGAACCCAAUCCAUGAAAAAGUCGGUGAUCUUAUCAGCCCAGACCCAAACUUUCUGAGCCACAGCCACAGCCCAGCCUUCACGUGGUUACAGGUCUGAAGGUUGUGUAAAGAUGCGGGUCAGUGAUAGAAUCGGCCUAAUAGUCACACUCAGAGGCCAGCAUAAGACACUCACCGUCCCUGGGGACACAGAGAACUAGUUUUAUGUUCUUACACUCCCCCUGCUGGUUUUAUUUCUGGAGCAAUAUGCCAAGUACCACAGGUCUUCACUAUUUCUGCAGAAAUUAGAACGUUUUUCUACCACAAAGUUAUACACUGACCUGAACCAAGGGAAAAAGAUUUUGACCACUGGAAAGUCACAGUAUCAAUAAGAUAUUUUUUUUCUCUUACAUCUAAGAAUUUCUUGUGGGGUGGUAUGAACAUUCUGGGAACAGGAGGACUGCGGUGUAAAUCUGCCAAAGGACACUGUGUAAUAAAAAGCUAAAUAGAGACUUGUGCAUUAACUGUUAGGAUUACUGAAAGUAACAGUGUCAGUAUAACAGAAACACUGUAACAGAAACACGUAAAACAAGGACAGGCAUAGUGCAGUGCAAAUACGCAAGUUCAAAUAAACCAAGAGCUUGAUUGUGUCUGCAGUGGAGGCUUUCGCAUCCAGUGGGUGGGGGGUUUCCGCCAAGACUCAGGCCUCUCACUGGCUCUCCGUGAUGGGUGCUGGGGUAUAUGGGUGAGUAAAACAUGCGUGUUAGCUGCCCUGUUUCACAUGGCCUGCUUUGGGAGCAAAUAACAAGAGGGCCUCUCCUUGUCUAGAGAGUUAAAGGAGGGCUUCCAAGGAAGUGGUGCUCGAAUGACUGCUCUGACGGCUGAGAUAGCGUGGGAACAGGGCCUGGUCAUUGCCUUAGGGCCUGGUCACUGCCUUAAAGCAAAGGACACCGUGACAGACAGUGUGGAUGAGGCCUCCUCUGCGUGGUCGCCGCGAGCAUUGGGCACUUUCCUCGUGCUAGGCCUCUGCUCUGUGUGUUCGUGGGGUGUGACUCAUUCAACUUCAACAGAACUGUUGCUGCCCGUUUUACUGAUGAUGUACCUGGAGCAUGGACAUGACAGAACGUGCCCAAGGUCACAUCCCUAAUGAGGGUGGAGCCGGAACGUGAGUCUAGAAUCUGGGCCCAGAGCCAGUGCACGUGUAAUACCAUAUCUCAGCCUCCAGUUUCCCCACCAGAACUGUCCUGGCCCCACAGUCACCCACUGGGAAAGCCACAGGGCCUGCUUCCGAGGGGCAGUGUGUGCGGUGUGGCUAUGUAGUGGCAGGGGAGUCGGACUUCGUGCACAGUAAGCUCCGUUUAAGGAUCUCCAUGUCUGUUAUGACAAGAUGAACAGCCCAUCCAACUGAAUCUUUGAAGUCAAGCCUUUCUAACCAUUCUUUUUGCUAGUGCCCACCAUUAUUUAAGGCUGGCAUGCCGCUCUGCAGAACCUCCCCCUUCUUAUGUGCCUUCCUAGUCCCUUCAGGCUGCCAUGCAGAUCACUGGAGACCAAGAGGCUUACAAGCAGCAGAGAUUCAUUCCUCACAGCCUGGAGGCUGGGGGCCCAAGAUCAAGGUGCCGGCAGGUUCCGCGUCUGCUGAGAGCCGCCCCCUGGUUUACGGACAGCCACCUGCUCGUGAUCACCUUGGCAGCAGGGGCUGGUGAGGGGGCUCCCUGGGGUCACUCUCCCGAGGGCACUAAUCCCAUUCACGAGGGCUCCGCCCGUAUGACCUCACCAUCUCCAAAUAUUGGGAAUUUGGUUUCAGCAUGAAAUUUGGGGGAACACAAACACAUGUUAAAUAGGUAAAAUCAUGCAUUCGUCAUCGUUCUCUUUUCUGUCCCCCUGAUCUUAGUGGCCCAACCAGACAAGUAAGACCACCUCCAGAGCUCCCCGCGGGCAUUCCCUGACCUGAAAGGCGUGCUUGGUAGAACAGGCCAGGGCUGUCCCAUGAACGCUGGUCACCGGGGAGAGAGACGUGCGAAGAACAAGGCAGGGGACAUCCACUCAUGCCUUUCUGCCCUCUUUCAGCCGCUUGCUCGCGUCUGUGCUUACCGGGCACCUCCUGCGAGCCAGGAAGCAUUCUAGUCCUGGAGAUACGGUAGCGAAGAAGCCAAACCCUGGUCUUCCGGAGCUUACGUAAGGUUGGGGCAGUGGACGGUACAUGCAUAAAUACGUACUCUGUUGUUAUGCCCCAAGGAAGACAGAACAAGGAGUGUGCUAAGAGCGCUCAAGGAAGGCUGUCCAGGAGGUGGCAUCGCCCCUGCGUGAAUAGUCGGGGAAGGGGUCACAGCAGAGACACCCCGAGUGCAGAGACUGCAGUGGGAGAGAAGCCAACGCAUGAGGGGGCAUCAGGAAGGCCGUGAGACCAGAGCAGAGCCAGUCGGGAGGAAGAGGGGAGCCGAGAGGCCCCACGGCAGGGACCGGAGCCAGAUCCGGAAGGGCCUGGAAAGGCCAUGGAGAGGACCCCUGACGUCACCUGAACAGGAUGGGAAGCGUAGCCCCGACCAGAGCAGGGGUGUUCUGCGUGCUGUGCAGUCCUCGGUGACCACCGACUGCUGGGGAAGCACAGACAGCAGGACACCUUACAGGGAGCUAGUUAUAUCAUAAUAGUCUUACAGUCUCAGGCUUUUUUUUUUGUUUCAUCCUGAAAUAAUUUAAGACUUUAAAGAAGUUGCAAAACAGUGCAGAGUCUUGUACAUCCUUCACCCAGGUUCCCCAGAUGUUGACAUCUUUGAGAACAAUAGCACCAAUAUCAAAAUCAGGAAAUGAGCAUUGAUACAGUCUGUUCUCUAGGCUGCAGACCCUGUUCAGAUCCCCCAGUUGUCCCACCAAGUGCCUUUCCUUGGGCUCAGGGCCACACCCACGCAUGUGGCUGAAUCUCCUUCGUUUCCUUGAUCCUGGAAGAGUGCUUUCGUCUUUCAUGACCCUGACAAUUUUUAGUACUAGCCAGAAUGUCCCUCCAUUGGUGUAAUGUUUCCUCAUGAUUAAAUUCAGGUUACACAUUUUUUAUAAGAAUACCACAGAACGGAUGAAUACUAUGUCCUCCUCAGUGCAGCCUAUCAGGAGGCACAGGGUAUGGUUUGACCUGUGACUCGUGGUGGUAACUUGAUCAUCGGGCUUAAAGUAGUGUCUGGGAGGGUUUCUGCAUUUUAAUUACCCUUUGUAAUUCAUAACUAUGUUAUGAGGAAAUACUUUGACAUAAUGUAAAUAUUGUUUCUCAUCAUAUUUCUGCCCAAUAAUUUCAGUAUCCAUUGAUGGUGAUUUUCAGAAAUAAUAGUGACUGCGGCGUUUGCUAUAUUGUGCUUUUUCUAAUAUCAUUCCUUCUCUGUUGUUUGGUUAGAAUUGCACUAUAAGAACAAAUGUACAUUUCCUUCUCAUUUAUUCAUUUAUUUAUUUGUUUGUACCUGCUUGGGCCCACAAGUUCUUACCUGUUUCUAUGUGUGAGGAUUUGUUAUUACCAUUCACUGAUCUUGCUCAAACUGUCCCUGAUUUGAUCACAGGAACCCCUUCCUGUUGGUUCUUAAGGUGUUUUGACAUUUAUUUACCCCCAUUUUUCAAGUGCAUCUUACUUUUUGGUACCACACGAAGUUCCUGGCUCAUCUUGUUAGCUCUUUGCCUCGGCUCUAAAAUCACCUAUCCAAAUACCCCUCCUUCUUUCAUUGAGGAAUAGUAUUUAGAAGCCAAAAUCUGGGUGCUGUGCGUCCUCACUGUGAAUGAGGUGUCAUUGCUCAGAGGCCCUCUCAGUAGACAGAGCUGGAAAAUAUGUGUGUAACCACAUAUCUGCAAUGAUUUCUGUAACACUUGUUGUAUGUGUGUUUGUAUCCACAACAAUUUUAUAUUGAUGUUUCCAAUUCUGUCCAACACUGACUUUAUUCUAACAUUCCCCACCCUCCAUAUUUGUAACUCUUAUUAUAAUAGUAAGAAACUCAGCUUUCAUUAUCCUGAGUAUGUUUAUUUAGUUGCUCAACCCUAAAAUACACAUAGAACAGCUUCAGAAUUACUAAUCUAAAUAACCCACAUGCAAACCUACUAACUAGAGUGAAAUUCAAACCUACAACUGGAGCACUGUGUUUGUGGGCAAACCUUUGACUGUUUCUCCUCCGACCUGCGGUCAGAUCACCAUUUCCCAAAGUUCCUUAGUCCGUUCUCCGCCCGCCUUCCUUCCUGUCACUCAUCGGUAAUAAGAGUAGGUUCACUUCUUUCUGUUGAUGCCCCACUUUGGGUCUGCACCCCAACACGCUCCUCAUUGAGUUUACUUACCUGUUUCUGAGUAUGUGAAACAUUCACUUGUUUCCCAAACUCAGAACUAAACAAAAAAAUGUCAUUCUGCUGCUUUCCUCCAUUCCCAUUCCCAGGCUUUGUAAUCAACUAAUCUCAUUAUUUCCUAUAUACCCUUCUUUUCUUUUGAUGAAAGGGAAUGUAGUACAUAUGAUCCUUUCACUUCACAGUAUAUCCUGGAAACUGCUACGUAUGCACCUCGGAGCGUUCUGCUCAUUUCGUGAUUUGGCAUAAACUGAAUGAACUGUAGUUUAUUCACCCACCCUCUUACUUGAGGAAUUAGGUUGUUCCCAGUAUUCUCCAGUGCUGCAGUGCUAACACGAACAGCUUCGGGCACAUGUAUCCCUGUGCUACUCGGUGGGAGCCGGGCAGCACCUUCACGAUGAGUUCCCAGAAGUGAACCUGCUGGAUUAAAAGCCAAGUGCAGUGCAGUCCCAGCGGGUCUGGCCGCCUGUUUUCUGGCUUGUCCUCUUACCGGCAGUGUGUGAGAGGGCCUCUUCCCCGCAGGCUCCCUCCGCUGUGUUCUCCCACAUGCGACAGCAAUAAUAGUAUUACCCACAGCAGUGGUAGUGUGACUCCGUUCGGGUUCCUGGACCUGAUUCUGGUGUGUGGGAGGGAAUGGGAGGGGGUCUUCCCACACGGGACACCAAGCAGUUCUCCAACACCAGCAGGUGUCCAGAACUCAGUUCUGAUGACAGACGCCCACCUCACCUUUAAGGUUCUGCCGUGUCUUCAGGAACUGUGGGUGAAGACAGCAUGCCUGGGAAACAUGUAUGUGCUCGUAUGAAAGACCAAAUCUGUAUUUCUUAUGACUCACUGUAUCAUACUUCCCAAGAAAAUACAUGUCAUACUUUCUAAUUUUUCAGGCAAGAAUUUUGAUAGUGGCUCUAAGCAGUAGAGGUGAAAGAGCUUAGAUGUUAGACGUGUUUUGGAGGAGAAACCAGUUGGGAGGCUACAGUGGAUUCCUUGGGAGGCUAACGUGUCAGAUCUCCAACCAGGAUUCUCUCCCAUUCUGUUUAAAUUAGGCCUCAGUAGUAACAGUCUUAACUAGUAACUUCUUUUUUCUUGUCUGGUUUAUGAACUUUUGGGGGCUCCCCCCUCCUCUUGAGCGGCCUUAUUCGGAUAUUCCAGUAAAUGCACGGCAUUGGAACAGCCAGUCCAACUGCUCUAGCAAAUCACCGCCGACAUUUCAGGGGCUCCGUGCAGCAGCAGGCUAUUUCCAGCUCACCAAACAAUCCGGGAGCGCGGUGCACACCCCCCUGGCUUCCGCCGGUGCUGGCGGCGGUGUGGUGUCUGUGACUGACCCCGGCUGCGUGUCCCCUCCCAGGUGGGGUGACCGCUCUCUGCUGGGACCCCGGCCGGCGGGUGUUGUUCUCCGG